rnacentral:ncRNA from 1 species
UAUAGAAAAAGGCAAACCGUUUGAAAGAACGGGACGCAAAGCCUAGGGUCUAAGGGAUCCCAAACUUCCUAUGAUCGCCUGGUUACCUGA